CAAAUUAGAGCUUGAAUAAGUAUUUCAUUUACAUUGAAAUGAUAUUGGAAUCCAAUUAAUUUGA
rnacentral:tRNA from 3 species